CAGCUGACAUUUGAGGCUGCUCUCCGUACUGUCACCGUGCUGGUCCAACCCACCACCCUCUCCCCCAGGAGCCUCCCCACUGGUCUCCCUGUGUCCGUUGGCAGCACGACAGCCAGACUGGCCUAUGGCAGCCUGGUCAGCUUGCGCUGUACCUGCUCGCACCCUGCUCCGCCGACCUCAUUUCCCACUGAGUAAAGGACCAGCUGCGGUGGACGUCUUGACUGUGUCUUGAGGGCACCAGACACUGCCUGCCCCAGGCCUGUGCACCUGCUGUGCCCUGCCAGCCUGGAGAGCUCUUCCCUCCAUAGCUGCGUGCACCCCCCACUCACUUCAGUGAUCGCCCUAAAGCCCUGUUAUCAACGAGGCCUCUUUCCAGCAUCCUAAUUAAAAUUGCAGUUCCUUCCCUGCUCCCA